CGACGCGUGUUAUUUCGUCGUUUGUUUCUUUUUCACACGAGGAGCUGUUGUUGGGCGUGUAAACUUAGUUUGAACCUCUGGCUGUCGGCGAACACCGCGGCCGCGCCCGCGCCCGCGCCCGCACCCACGCUCCCAGCAGAGGAGGGAGGAUGAAGCGCGAAAAUGGUCAAGAAGAGAUGCUUUGGAUUAGAAGUAAAAGUUGUCAACGACGAGCCUGACAUCAGCCUGAUGGUACUUCAAUGGCCAGCUCUUUCUACAGUAAACCAGGUUGCAGCUGACAAGGACUCAUACAGGCAAACUUCAGUGAGAAUUGUCUGUGUUGAUCUAUAAAGUGCUCAGCUAAACCCAUCAUGAGUGAAGAUCGUCUUGGAAGGACG